GGGUGAGUAAUGCCUAGGGAACUGCCCAGUCGAGGGGGAUAACAGUUGGAAACGACUGCUAAUACCGCAUACGCCCUACGGGGGAAAGGAGGGGCUCUUCGGACCUUUCGCGAUUGGAUGUACCUAGGUGGGAUUAGCUUGUUGGUGAGGUAANAGCUCACCAAGGCGACGAUCCCUAGCUGUUCUGAGAGGAUGAUCANCCACACUGGGACUGAGACACGGCCCAGACUCCUACGGGAGGCAGCAGUGGGGAAUAUUGCACAAUGGGCGAAAGCCUGAUGCAGCCAUGCCGCGUGUGUGAAGAAGGCCUUCGGGUUGUAAAGCACUUUCAGCGAGGAGGAAAGGUUAACGGNUAAUACCCGUUAGCUGUGACGUUACUCGCAGAAGAAGCACCGGCUAACUUCGUGCCAGCAGCCGCGGUAAUACGAGGGGUGCAAGCGUUAAUCGGAAUUACUGGGCGUAAAGCGUACGCAGGCGGUUUGUUAAGCGAGAUGNGAAAGCCCCGGGCUCNACCUGGGAACUGCAUUUCGAACUGGCAAACUA
rnacentral:rRNA from 1 species